GAAAAGCUCAUUGGGCAGCGGGUGGAACUCAAGAGAACUGACACUUAAAAGGCAUCAUUUGGGGGCUGCUCUUAGGGUAUUUGGGACCUACAGAGGGAAUCCUGACUUUGACGCAGGCUGUUCUGCAGAUGGACAGAGACCAGGAGAUCAAUAUAUGACUCAGAACUGCACGUGAGGCCUGGAGAAUCCACUGCUCAAUGGACAUCAGAAGAGAGCAGUUGACGCGAGAUUUAGCAAGGUGGACGUCGCCAUUGAUGCUGACAAGAGGAACACGAUCCCAGUACCAUAUGCAGCUCUGUUCACUUGAGAUCUCUUCUCCCUGCAAGAACGUGGGUGUCCUCUC